rnacentral:rRNA from 1 species
UACGGAGGGUGCAAGCGUUAUCCGGAUUCACUGGGCGUAAAGCGCACGUAGGCGGAUUGUUAAGUCAGGGGUGAAAUCCUGGAGCUCAACUCCAGAACUGCCUUUGAUACUGGCGAUCUUGAGUCCGGGAGAGGUGAGUGGAACUGCGAGUGUAGAGGUGAAAUUCGUAGAUAUUCGCAAGAACACCAGUGGCGAAGGCGGCUCACUGGCCCGGUACUGACGCUGAGGUGCGAAAGCGUGGGGAGCAAACAGG